GAGAUGUUGGGUUAAGUCCCGUAACGAGCGCAACCCUUGUCCUUAGUUACCAGCACCGUUAUGGUGGGCACUCUAAGGAGACUGCCGGUGACAAACCGGAGGAAGGUGGGGAUGACGUCAAGUCAUCAUGGCCCUUACGGCCUGGGCUACACACGUGCUACAAUGGUCGGUACAAAGGGUUGCCAAGCCGCGAGGUGGAGCUAAUCCCAUAAAACCGAUCGUAGUCCGGAUCGCAGUCUGCAACUCGACUGCGUGAAGUCGGAAUCGCUAGUAAUCGUGAAUCAGAACUGUCACGGUAGAAUAACGUUCCCGGGCCUU
rnacentral:rRNA from 1 species